rnacentral:rRNA from 1 species
UACAGAGGGUGCAAGCGUUACUCGGAAUUACUGGGCGUAAAGCGUGCGCAGGCGGUUGCGUAAGUCAGAUGUGAAAGCCCCGGGCUCAACCUGGGAAUUGCAUUUGAGACUGCGUAGCUAGGGUGCGGAAGAGGGAAGCGGAAUUUCCGGUGUAGCGGUGAAAUGCGUAGAUAUCGGAAGGAACACCAGUGGCGAAAGCGGCUUCCUGGUCCAGCACCGACGUUCAGGCACGAAAGCGUGGGGAGCAAACAGG